rnacentral:rRNA from 1 species
AGCGGCGGACGGGUGAGUAACACGUGGGUAACCUGCCCAAGAGACUGGGAUAACACCUGGAAACAGAUGCUAAUACCGGAUAACAACACUAGACGCAUGUCUAGAGUUUGAAAGAUGGUUCUGCUAUCACUCUUGGAUGGACCUGCGGUGCAUUAGCUAGUUGGUAAGGUAACGGCUUACCAAGGCAAUGAUGCAUAGCCGAGUUGAGAGACUGAUCGGCCACAUUGGGACUGAGACACGGCCCAAACUCCUACGGGAGGCAGCAGUAGGGAAUCUUCCACAAUGGACGAAAGUCUGAUGGAGCAACGCCGCGUGAGUGAAGAAGGGUUUCGGCUCGUAAAGCUCUGUUGGUAGUGAAGAAAGAUAGAGGUAGUAACUGGCCUUUAUUUGACGGUAAUUACUUAGAAAGUCACGGCUAACUACGUGCCAGCAGCCGCGGUAAUACGUAGGUGGCAAGCGUUGUCCGGAUUUAUUGGGCGUAAAGCGAGUGCAGGCGGUUCAAUAAGUCUGAUGUGAAAGCCUUCGGCUCAACCGGAGAAUUGCAUCAGAAACUGUUGAACUUGAGUGCAGAAGAGGAGAGUGGAACUCCAUGUGUAGCGGUGGAAUGCGUAGAUAUAUGGAAGAACACCAGUGGCGAAGGCGGCUCUCUGGUCUGCAACUGACGCUGAGGCUCGAAAGCAUGGGUAGCGAACAGGAUUAGAUACCCUGGUAGUCCAUGCCGUAACGAUGAGUGCUAAGUGU